rnacentral:rRNA from 1 species
AGGGUUUGAUCAUGGCUCAGGACGAACGCUGGCGGUGCGCCUUAUGCAUGCAAGUUGAGCGAAGCUUUUCAGUAGUUUACUACAGAAAAUGACUGAGCGGCGAACGGGUGAGUAACGCGUGAGCAAUCUACCUUAGUUACUGGGAUAGCCCGAGGAAACUCGGAUUAAUACCGGAUAAUCUUAUUACAUCACAUGAUAUUUUAAGUAAAGGUCAGCCGAACUAAGAUGAGCUCGCGUUCUAUCAGCUAGUUGGUGGGGUAAAAGCCUACCAAGGCUACGACGGAUAGCUGGUCUGAGAGGACGAUCAGCCACACUGGGACUGAGACACGGCCCAGACUCCUACGGGAGGCUGCAGCAGGGAAUAUUGUGCAAUGAGCGAAAGCUUGACACAGCGACACCGCGUGUGGGAUGACGGUUCUAGGAUUGUAAACCACUUUCAGGAGGGAAGAAAAUGACGGUACCUCCACAAGAAGCCCCGGCCAACUACGUGCCAGCCGCCGCGGUAAUAC